rnacentral:rRNA from 1 species
UACGUAGGGUGCAAGCGUUGUCCGGAAUUAUUGGGCGUAAAGAGCUCGUAGGCGGUCUGUCGCGUCGGCUGUGAAACCCCGGGGCUCAACUCCGGGCCUGCAGCCGAUACGGGCAGACUAGAGUUCGGUAGGGGAGACUGGAAUUCCUGGUGUAGCGGUGAAAUGCGCAGAUAUCAGGAGGAACACCGGUGGCGAAGGCGGGUCUCUGGGCCGAUACUGACGCUGAGGAGCGAAAGCGUGGGGAGCGAACAGG